UACGAAGGGGGCUAGCGUUGCUCGGAAUGACUGGGCGUAAAGGGCGCGUAGGCGGCUCAUACAGUCAGGCGUGAAAUUCCUGGGCUCAACCUGGGGACUGCGCUUGAGACGUGUGGGCUUGAGUGGGGAAGAGGGUCGUGGAAUUCCCAGUGUAGAGGUGAAAUUCGUAGAUAUUGGGAAGAACACCGGUGGCGAAGGCGGCGACCUGGUCCUUGACUGACGCUGAGGCGCGAAAGCUGGGGGAGCGAACAGG
rnacentral:rRNA from 1 species